rnacentral:rRNA from 1 species
GGACGAACGCUGGCGGCGUGCCUAAUACAUGCAAGUCGAACGGUCUUUCUAUGGAAGCUUGCUCCACUGAGAAGAUAGUGGCGGAACGGGUGGAGUAACACGUGGGUAACCUGCCCAUAAGAGGGGGAGUAACAUCCGAAACGGGUGCCAAUACCGCAUAGUUUCUUGAUCGCAUGAUUGAGAAAGGAAAGACGGCCUUUGUGCUGUCGCUUAUGGAUGGACCCGCGGCGUAUUAGUUAGUUGGUGAGGUAACGGCUCACCAAGACGAUGAUACGUAGCCGACCUGAGAGGGUGAUCGGCCACAUUGGGACUGAGACACGGCCCAAACUCCUACGGGAGGCAGCAGUAGGGAAUCUUCCGCAAUGGACGAAAGUCUGACGGAGCAACGCCGCGUGAGUGAAAGAAGGUUUUCGGAUCGUAAAACUCUGUUGUCAGAGAAGAACAAGUUGGAGAGUAACUGCUCCAGCCUUGACGGUAUCUGACCAGAAAGCCACGGCUAACUACGUGCCAGCCGCGGC